rnacentral:tRNA from 1 species
GCCCUUAUAGCUCAGCGGUAGAGCGACUGCUUCGUAAGCAGUAGGCCGUGGGUUCAAAUCCCACUAGGGGCU